GACGAACGCUGGCGGCGUGCCUAAUACAUGCAAGUUGAGCGCUGAAGGUUGGUACUUGUACGAACUGGAUGAGCAGCGCACGGGUGAAUAACGCGUGGGGAAUCUGCCUUUGAGCGGGGGACAACAUUUGGAAACGAAUGCUAAUACCGCAUAACAACUUUAAACACAAGUUUUAAGUUUGAAAGAUGCAAUUGCAUCACUCAAAGAUGAUCCCGCGUUGUAUUAGCUAGUUGGUGAGGUAAAGGCUCACCAAGGCGAUGAUACAUAGCCGACCUGUGAGGGUGAUCGGCCACAUUGAGACUGAGACACGGCCCAAACUCCUACGGGAGGCAGCAGUAGGGAAGCUUCGGCAAUGGACGAAAGUCUGACCGAGCAACGCCGCGUGAGUGAAGAAGGUUUUCGGAUCGUAAAACUCUGUUGGUAGAGAAGAACGUUGGUGAGAGUGGAAAGCUCAUCAAGUGACGGUAACUACCCAGAAAGGGACGGCUAACUACGUG
rnacentral:rRNA from 1 species